AUUUGAAAUUAAAUUGACCAAAAUUAAAAUACCCAAAGAUAGUCAAAAUUCCUAAAUCCCUUCCCCGUUAAAUCAGCCCAAGAUAGCCAACACCAUGCCCAACGACAACUUCGCCCCCACCAGCUAACCCAAAACGGCCCACCAAGGCACGACAACAACCAAACACUACCCAUUAACAACGUUAAACAGCAAUACACGAACAGCACAACGGCGUACCAUCUCAACAACACCGUAACAACCAACAACGACAAAUCCUAGCCAAUUUUACCAAUUUACCCUCUGGUUCGGUCGUUUCUAGCCAAAAUUCAGAGUGCUUUCGUUAGUUUCAGUCCAUGGUUCAGGCAAAACGUUAGCUCACUCUUUUGACCAACACGACCCACGACUCAUUUUGGUCUUUUAUGUCCACUUUUUCAUCUUCCCGUUCUGAGGAUCUCAAAAUCUCUUCUUUUUUCUUUACAAGAAGAUUUCAAAUCCGAAAAUUGGAAACCCUAGCUAUUCCACCCCCCCACCCCCUACCCCCAAUUUCCCUUAUAAAUAGAGGCCAAGGGGAAGGGGUGGAAAAAGAGAGGAUUUUGGGGGAAAAUUGGGGGUUCUGAAGGUGCUUGCCUUUAACCUCACAAAACCGAAAUUCUCAAAGAAUCGUCGAAAUAUCGAAAUUCGACGUUGUCGUUCAAAUUCUACUGGUUAGAAUCAAUUCGAGGUGGUGGUAUUUCAUUCGACUGAAAGUUCCUCGUCCGGUGUCACUGCCCGAAAAUCGACUCCCUUCCUUGCAUAUCCCAUUGGGCCAAAGAGGUACCAAGUCCAAAAUGGACUAAUGCAAGGAGAAAAUAGGCUGAUCCAAAGUUGUAUACACAGAUAUACAGCAGUAUGCGGCGGAAAUACGGCUGGAAAUGAGAAAGGGAAGCUAGUAUACAGGUGAAGGACUGAAGUUGUGUAUAUGUGAUCAAAAUACGGUCAUAUAUACACCGUAUAUAUACAAAAAACGCAAGGGUAAAGGGCGGUGAUAUACAAUCAGUAUACAUAGCUGUAAGGGCUGAAAAAUCCAUGAAAAUGGGCCCAAAAAUUGGGCAGAUUUCAAUGGGCCAAAUCAGGGGCCCAAAUCUUACACUUUUCCUCUUUAAGUUUGUUUGUAUAUUCCUAUUUGAUUAUUUGUUUGUAAUGAACUUUGGUUAAACCAAGUUAAACCACCUUUUUGAAUCGUCAUUUCUAUUUUUUCCU